ACAUACUUAUUUUUUGUUUAGGUCAAGGUACUCUUUUGGUAUCAGGGACACAUUAGAGGAGUGGUAUUGAUUUCAGUUUCAUCACCAAAUGUUAAACUACUGUCAAACUACUGUCACCCAAAUAGAAUGGAAGUAAUUCAAUAUGCUGCAGUUGAAAUCUGUUCUAAAAUGGUAUCUUUUUGCACAACCAUACUUUACUGCCAGUGAAAACAGGUAAAUCUUCUUUCUAUACUUCCCCUUAUUUAGAUCUUAGCAUAAUUCAAAUAAAAUACAUGCAAACAAGUUUAUGACCUUCCCAAUCUUUUUUUUUUUUUUUUUUUUUUUUUUUUUUUUUUGUUAAAGCAAGAGCAAAAGGUACUUUAUUCCAGCAAAAAGGUCAAAGCACCAGUGUUUCAAAGCAUACCAGAACACUUUGCUUGGAAAUUCUGAAUAAUGUGCAGAUAGAAUCCAAUGAAAGUACCUCUAACUGUAUGGAGUGGAGCAGAGCCAAAGAACUUUGAUUAUAAAAGUUCUAGUGGUCACUCAAAUGGUCCAAACAUUCACCACAUAGUUAUACUUCAUGCUCUGACAAAAGAUUGAGAGAUCCUUCCUGCUGUGUUCAGGUUCAGAAUCCAUGCAUGGAUUCUCAGAGAUUCUACGUACAAUUCACAUGCAAAGCAGAAUUAACUUGGUAAGCUUUGUGCAAAAAACUAUUGAUUCAAACCUCUCAUAUAGGUAGCAACAUUCAGAGAUGUCUCUUUCUUUUUUUCUCCUAUGUCCACCAUUCCCCCUAAUGGGAUACUAAUGGAUUCAGGAUACAGUGGUUGUCACAGCUGAUAGAAAAUAUUCUGAAAGAUUUAAACAGAAAAAAAAAUAAAAAUCCUCUUCUUAACUCUUCA
rnacentral:lncRNA from 1 species